rnacentral:lncRNA from 1 species
UCAGUUCAGAAUAAUUGAUUUAGUUAUUAAAUGCGGUUAAUUACAAGAUUACAGUUAAAAUCUAGAAAUCAGAGCAAUUAUAUAAGAGUUAUAGAAGUUUGUUGGAGUGUCAGACUAUGAUAGUCAUGAGCCGGGGUAAGCUUGGUGCUACCUCUUUGUUUCUUUAUUUUCUUUGUUGUUGAAAAAUAAUGGAUAGUUUUUGAAUAUUGAGAAGUGAGUCUGUGGAAUAAAUUAGAGAUUGAUUUAUGAGUUAUUGAUUAUAUAAUUGGAACACUGAGUGAUUGAAUUAUAUGAGGAGUUAUUGAAAGAUUAUAAUUGUUGUUUAUUGAGAACUAUAUGUGUUUCUAUAGAGGAAGUUUGUGAUAACAGAAAUUAUUUAAAUUCAAAUUAUUGGAAUGAAGUCUGUUAUUCAUGGUGUUGGAUGGAAAUUAUU